CAGUAGCCGCGGGAAUACGAAGGGGGCUAGCGUUGUUCGGAUUUACUGGGCGUAAAGCGCACGUAGGCGGACUUUUAAGUCAGGGGUGAAAUCCCGGGGCUCAACCCCGGAACUGCCUUUGAUACUGGAAGUCUUGAGUAUGGUAGAGGUGAGUGGAAUUCCGAGUGUAGAGGUGAAAUUCGUAGAUAUUCGGAGGAACACCAGUGGCGAAGGCGGCUCACUGGACCAUCACUGACACUGAGAGACGAAAGCUAGGGGAGCAAAUGGGAUUAGAUACCCGUGUAGUCCCUGUCUCUUAUAC
rnacentral:rRNA from 1 species